rnacentral:rRNA from 1 species
UACGAGAGGCCCAAACGUUAUUCGGAUUUACUGGGCUUAAAGAGUUCGUAGGCGGUGCAGAAAGUGGGGUGUGAAAGCCCUCGGCUCAACCCCGGGCCUGCAGUCGAUACGGGCAGACUAGAGUGCGGUAGGGGGAGACUGGAAUUCCUGGUGUAGCGGUGGAAUGCGCAGAUAUCAGGAGGAACACCGGUGGCGAAGGCGGGUCUCUGGGCAGUAACUGACGCUGAGGAGCGAAAGCGUGGGGAGCGAACAGG